CGGGUCCCGCAGGCGCCGGUCCCGCUCUCAGGGUUCCCUGCGGGCUUUCCCGACUUCCUGCCCUGCUUCACUCCCGGGGCCACCUUUUAUUGCUGCCGGGUGGCGUCUCCUGCUGACGUCACCCGGCCCCAGCUGGAUAUAAGCGCGGUUUACAAAUUGCGCCAGCGGUUGUCCCGCGCGCGUGUCCCUGCUCUCUCCGGCUUCUGCGUAGGACUUCUUUGGAACUUUGGGUAUUCAAAGUACAGUCCCAAUUGACUUAAGUUACAACUGUGAGUGCUCCACACACGUGCUGAUCUGACUGUAUGCAUCUCAACUGGAUACCCAGGAAGUGAAGAAUGCAUAAUUAAUAGUGGCCAUCAGACAAAAUGUUGCUUUAUGUGACUUUACUUUAAGUGAUCAUUGCAAAAGAACUCUGGCAGAGGAUAUCUUAUAAGGAAGAUAAAGAUCCCACUUAUUAGCAACAGGACACCAGACAUGAACCCAAUUGGAAUAGCAGUCCCCAUUUGUUGUGCCACUGGGACAGGUGGCAGAUGGAAAGAAGGAGGAAAAGGGAUAGUGCUAUUGGUUGCCACUGAAUAACCAUUCCAGGUCACUGGCACUAAGACACAAAUACCAGCAAAUACAUACAAGAUUCCACCAGCUAAAUGUAAGAAUUUAAUCCAGUUUUGU